rnacentral:rRNA from 1 species
CGAACGGGUGAGUAAUACAUAAGUAACCUGCCCUAGACAGGGGGAUAACUAUUGGAAACGAUAGCUAAGACCGCAUAGGUACGGACACUGCAUGGUGACCGUAUUAAAAGUGCCUCAAAGCACUGGUAGAGGAUGGACUUAUGGCGCAUUAGCUGGUUGGCGGGGUAACGGCCUACCAAGGCGACGAUGCGUAGCCGACCUGAGAGGGUGACCGGCCACACUGGGACUGAGACACGGCCCAAACUCCUACGGGAGGCAGCAUG